AUUUAAUAUUAACCUAAUUGUACAGAUUUUUGUAAAAAAUUAAAAAUAAAAUUUAGCCUACACUAGAAGUAUUAUGAUAAAAUGGCCUAAUUUCAUUCACAGCCCGGUUAGGGUAUGGGAUGGUGUUUUUUAAUUUUUUUUUAAUUUACAUAACUAAACCUUUGGGGUCUUUAUGCAGUAUUAAACAUGAACAAUUUUAAUUUAGUGAAGGAUUCGUCAGAGCGAGUUAAACCGUUACGUUGUUGGUAUUUUGGGAGAGAUCGGCUCAUAAAAAUCAUAUGUUGAUGAAUGGGUUGCGCGGAAUCUUUUUAAUCCACUAAAAAGGACUCUCUUAUUUGUCCGAGUCAUUUGUUCAUGAAUCGGAAUGUUUUGAUUCACUAAGAAGAAUCACGCGACUACGCGACGUGGUUUAUUUUUGCGGACUCCACUAUGUGUUUGCGUUUGUGCGCUCGAGGACAGGUCAUUUAUACCACUGUUUUGCGACACCGUCUUUUAUACUAUGCCAUUCAAUUCCGACUGCAAGCUCGCAAAUCGGUAUUUCGUUCAAGCACCGAAACAAACUGUAGAGUAAGAAGAACGCGCAUGCGCAAGAACACGACGCUCAGAAGGGAAGACAAUUCUCCAGCGGUAUCUAGAAAGUGUUUCUCCCUUGAUUGCCAAGGUAUUUUUCCUUUCCAAAGCCAUCAAGUCAUAAGUGUCAGAGCCCAAUGGUUCAACACAUUUCUUUCGGAUAUGCCCCUAUUUGUGAGCUGGAGGACUCACCAACUGGAGGCCCAAUGCAGCCAUGGAAACACUCCUCAAAACACCUGUCAGACCUGCCCCUGUUCAAACACCUGCUGCAGGAAUCAGAGUCUACCAUCAGGGGUAAGGGGCCACUGACUUUGUUCUCUAUGGCAUUGCUUUAUAUGGAGAGUUAUAAAAAAGCAUGUGAAGUUGGACACGGUAGAAGAGCAUUGCUGCAGGAAACAAAAAU
rnacentral:lncRNA from 1 species